GAGCACACCCCCCGCCCCCGGAGGGGCAGGGCGGGGCUUCGGAGCAUCCUCGGGGAAGCAGGGCGGAGACUCAGAGCAUCCCCGAGAGGUGCAGGGCGGGACCUAGGAGCCCCUCCCCGCCCCCGGAGAGGCAGGGCGGGGCUUCGGAGCACCCCCGGGAGGAGCAGGGCGCGGCCUAGGAGUAACCACCCCCCCGCACCGCAAGGGGCAGGGCGGGGCUUCGGAGCACCCCCGGGAGGAGCAGGGCGCGGCCUAGGAGUAACCACCCCCCCGCACCGCAAGGGGCAGGACGGGGUUUCGGAGCAUCCCCGGGAGGAGCAGGGCGGGGACUCGGAGCACCCCCGCUCCCCAGAGGAGCGCAGGCUCACCGCCCGCUGCAGGGGCUGCAGUCCGUCGGCCGAGGCCCCUCUCCGUCCCGGGGCUCCUCCCGGGGCGGGAGGGCAGGGGAGUGAGUGCGGGGAGGAGGGCUCGGACCCUAGUGGCCACGGACACGCUGACCUCGCCCCGGUCGUUCCGUCCGCGAGGAGGACGGCGGGGCAGGAGGCGGCGGCAGCAGCGCAGGCUGCACUUCUGGAGGAAGAGGGCCCGCGGACUGCCCUCCCGCGCUGCCCUCCACGACGCGGCUGCGCCCCCGCCGCGCUGCGACAGCGAGACCACCGAGGCCGGGUCGCCGCCAGCCCGACGGGGCGGCGGGGCGGGGCGCGACGAGCGCGUGGCCACGUGACCCGGACGCGGCCAAUCCGAGGCGCCGGCGCGGCCUCGGGCCAGGCACGCGCAGAAGCGCCCGCGCCUUUGCCUUCCGCGGGCAGCAGCGUCCGCCAUUGGCUGCGUCCGGGUCACGUGUCCACGCUCUCGCCGCGAGGGCGCCUGGGAGGCGGCUGGCGUGGGCCUCGGACGCCGCGGGUCGGCCUCGGCAGGAGCUGGGAUGCUCAGUGGAGAAUACCUCCUGCAGGGUCGUAGACCUCAGAACAACUGAUCACGAGGAUUAAAAUCUUAAUUGAAAUGCCUGUGGUUAGGAGACUGACAAGGACCCAGUGUCCCCCAGAGAAAUGUAAAGAAACUCCGAGUCCUGGAGGAUAAAAGUGCAGCAGUCAGGCCAGGAGCAGAGCACCUGGUACUUCUACAAGAAGCCUUCUGUCCACGGUGAGAUUUGUGCACCAACAGUGGCAUUGCCACGUCUCUUCAAAUUUCACUUUCCAAGACCAGAAAACCCUGCACAGAUGCCCAAGGUCAGAGUAGUGUGUGCCGUUGUCCUUGGCACAGUGCCCAGGCCUCAGUGUCCCAGCCAGCUCCUGAAACCAUCAUCUGUUCAUAGGAAGAGUCAUGGGAGAGAGGCUCAGGCCCCUGGGGACAAGGCCAAGGAUAUGGCCUGAGUCAUGUAGGGGCUUAGUGGAGGCCUGUGCAACAGCAUCGCCUGUGGUCUCUGAAAAUGAUUUAAAAUCCUCAGUGAUUCAAAGUGGGGAAAACAAGCUAUCCAUACUGCCCCAGGUAACAUACAGUGAUUCUUUCAUGUCUUACAUUACAUGAGCACUGAUGGGACAUCUGGAUGACACUGGCUAUUUAGAAAGUCCUGGAAAAUGGGGAAAAGUCAGGAAGAAUGAUUUAUCUUUAGAGAAAACUUAAUUUUCCCAGUUGGUUGUAAAGCAACUGGCACGGGGAAGGUGAGUCUGUGAGGAGAUACCCUGCCUCCCGCUCUGGCUUGGAAGAGAGGCCGUGCCUGAGAGCCUCUGCCUUCCAAGCUCAUCCUAUGAUUGGUAAAGUUUCAACACUUUCAGUCACAAAAAAGUUCACAUAAAAUUCACAAGUAGAGCGGGGUAGAACAGCCCUGGAAAUACCCAUGGUUGAUUCAGUGAUUGGGAAACUACUGUGGCGCUGCUUUGCCUGUUCUGGCACCAAGAAAUCCUGUGCUGUGCACGUUCACUGAACACUUGGCGUAACGCAGCAGACGGCUGGAAGAGCCACCCCGUGGCAGUGCCCAUUGGGGUCUGCUCCUUUCUCCACAGCGCGGUGUUCUCCAUUCAUAGUUGUUGAUGGACAUUUGGGUUAUUUCCAGUUUGGGGCUAGAAUGCAGCUGCUAUGAACACUUGCAUAGAAGUAUCCACAUCCUCAUUUCUCAACUAAACAACUUAAUAAAUAUCCUGAAUAUUCUUUCCUGGAAUGGGGU
ensembl:lncRNA